AGAGUUUGAUCCUGGCUCAGGAUGAACGCUAGCUACAGGCUUAACACAUGCAAGUCGAGGGGAAACGACAUCGAAAGCUUGCUUUUGAUGGGCGUCGACCGGCGCACGGGUGAGUAACGCGUAUCCAACCUGCCCACCACUUGGGGAUAACCUUGCGAAAGUAAGACUAAUACCCAAUGACGUCUCUAGAAGACAUCUGAAAGAGAUUAAAGAUUUAUCGGUGAUGGAUGGGGAUGCGUCUGAUUAGCUUGUUGGCGGGGUAACGGCCGACCAAGGCGACGAUCAGUAGGGGUUCUGAGAGGAAGGUCCCCACAUUGGAACUGAGACACGGUCCAAAAUCCUACGGNGGCA
rnacentral:rRNA from 1 species